rnacentral:rRNA from 1 species
UGUACACACAAUGCAGCAAACCAGCGAACUGUUGUUGUCCCCUCGAGGGGCCUCAUCCGGAGGUGAGGCCGUCGAUGGCUUGGAUCGGCCUGGUGGCCGGCCCAUGGGCGAGGUGGGGUUCCUUGCUGUCGGCUGGAGUGCCCCGCACUUGCGGGUUCUGUCGUUGGAGGCUGGCAUCCCCACCCUAAUGGGUGGAGCGAGCUGCCGACGGCUGGGGUCGGGCACUCCCCUCCCCCUCUGUCCCCGUCUUUGGGGGCUUUGGGGCCGUUUUUUCACAAGCACCCUGAGGAACAUGAAUGRCGAGACUGAGCCUGGGGCUUCGUGCUGCCUUCGCGGGCAGCGUGGAGCUCUAGCCGAAAACCAAAAGAAUGACUCUCAGCAACGGAUAUCUUGGCUCUUGCAACGAUGAAGAACGCAGCGAAAUGCGAUACCUAGUGUGAAUUGCAGAAUUCCGCGAAUCAUCGAGUCUUUGAACGCAAGUUGCGCCCGAGGCUUGUCCCGAGGGCAUGCCUGCCUGAGCGUCACCGCACUCCCACCCGGAAAUAUCCUUCCGGUGUGGAACUGGUCGUCCGGGACCCGGCGCGAAAAGCUACGGGUGGCGGUCGGCUGAAAUGCAACGAUUCGGACGCAGCCGGGGAGAGAGGCCGCGAGAAGGUGAUCCGUUCUUUGUUGGGCGGAGUCUGAUUGGGCAGCGCCUCUCCCCUUCGGUGGUCCGGUCGACGACUAUAGGAGGGGGAGUGUUUCGAUUCCCUCCCCAUGUSGGUGGGGGAGUGCGAGUAAAUGCGCACUCCCUCCUCCUCACGGCUUGGACCUCAGAUCAGGCAAGAUUACCCGCUGAGU